UACGUAGGGUGCAAGCGUUGUCCGGAAUUAUUGGGCGUAAAGAGCUCGUAGGCGGUUUGUCGCGUCGAAUGUGAAAACCCGGGGCUCAACCCCGGGCCUGCAUUCGAUACGGGCAGACUAGAGUUCGGUAGGGGAGUCUGGAAUUCCUGGUGUAGCGGUGAAAUGCGCAGAUAUCAGGAGGAACACCAAUUAGCGAAGGCAGCUCGCUGGGACGUUACUGACGCUGAUGCGCGAAAGCGUGGGAGCAAACAGG
rnacentral:rRNA from 1 species